UACGAAGGUGGCAAGCGUUACUCGGAAUUACUAGGCGUAAAGGGCAGGUAGGUGGUUUGAUAAGUCUGUUGUGGAAGCUCCCGGCUCAACUGGGAGAGGUCAACAGAUACUAUCAGGCUUGAGUAUAGGAGAGGGUACUGGAAUUCCCGGUGUAGCGGUGAAAUGCGCAGAGAUCGGGAGGAACACCAACGGCGAAAGCAGGUACCUGGACUAUUACUGACACUCAGCUGCGAAAGCUAGGGGAGCAAACAGG
rnacentral:rRNA from 1 species